UCUAAGGAACCCGCCGAACCCUUCGGGGCGAGGUAGUUCACUAGGUCAGCCCGUCCGAGCUCGCUGUUUCGUUUUGAGAGAUCCGAUGUCUUGGGAUCCUUGAAACUUGUCGCGCACUGGAGCAGGUCGCUUGAUAGAGCGGGCCUGUAGCUCAGCUGGUUAGAGCACACGCUUGAUAAGCGUGGGGUCGAAAGUUCAAAUCUUUCCAGGCCCACCACGCUUGCUUCCGGAGGAAGAGACCCGGGGCUGUAGCUCAGCUGGGAGAGCGCCAGCUUUGCAAGCUGGAUGUCGUCGGUUCGAUCCCGAUCAGCUCCACUUAAGAAUGCGCGAACGAUUGAGACGUCAGGGAGGCUUGCGAGCAGAGCCGGCUGGCGCGGAUCUUUGAAAAGAGAAGAGAGUCGAACGAAACAUGAAGAGAGGUCAGAGUACUUCGCUUUUGGUCCCUCCAGGUCAGCGCCUGAGGAGGACGAGGAGAGGAGGAAGUGACCAAGCUAGAAAGGGCACACGGUGGAUGCCUAGGCAGUCGGAGGCGAGGAAGGACGUGGGAGGCUGCGAAAAGCUUCGGAGAGCCGCCAACCAGGCUAUGACCCGGAGAUAU
rnacentral:sRNA from 1 species